AUUGAACGCUGGCGGCAGGCCUAACACAUGCAAGUCGAGCGGAUCGGCGGACUGGUCAGUAAUGCCUAGGUAUCUGCCUGGUAGUGGGGGAUCACGUUCGGUCACGGUCGCUAAUACCGCAUACUAUCAGAUGAGCCUAGGUCGGAUUAGCUAGUUGGUGGGGUAAAGGCCUACCAAGGCGACGAUCCGUAACUGGUCUGAGAGGAUGAUCAGUCACACUGGAACUGAGACACGGUCCAGACUCCUACGGGAGGCAGCAGUGGGGAAUAUUGGACAAUGGGCGAAAGCCUGAUCCAGCCAUGCCGCGUGUGUGAAGAAGGUCUUCGGAUUGUAAAGCACUUUAAGUUGGGAGGCGUUACCAACAGAAUAAGCACCGGCUAACUUCGUGCCAGCAGCCGCGGUAAUUC
rnacentral:rRNA from 1 species